rnacentral:lncRNA from 1 species
CCGGACUCUCCAUUUUUGUGCCUAUACCCGUGUCCACCGGACAUGACAUGGGUGUGGGUAUGAGAUCUGAGUCGGAUCCUUCUUAUUGCAACCAGACACUUCACCUUGUAACAUCCCAGGUCAAAAUGAAAACUUAGGUCUUGUUUCAACUUGUUUAUAGAGAUCAAGAUCCAUGAAUGACUUGUUUUUAUGACACUUCACCUUGUAACAUCCCAGGUCAAAAUGAAAACUUAGGUCUUGUUUCAACUUGUUUAUAGAGAUCAAGAUCCAUGAAUGACUUGUUUCUAUGUUGUUCUAUUGAUUUUAUGCUUCAGUUUUUAGUGUAUGUAAUAAAUCAGUCUAUAUAAAGUGUUACUUGCGUGGAACUUAAGUGCCAAGUCCCCGUACCUGAGUCUAAUUCCGGAUCCAUGUCCACGAAUCCUAAUUAUCCUAAAACUACAUAUCUGACUCUUGGAUAUGUACCCGUGUCCGUUACCCAUACCCG